rfam:Endozoicomonas sp. (ex Bugula neritina AB1) isolate AB1-5 ACH42_contig000176, whole genome shotgun sequence.
GGGAGCGGUAUGAAUUGAGAGGUUCACGUACCGUUCUGCGAGAGGCUGGCGGGGAGGUUCCGCCGGUCUUCUCGCC